rnacentral:lncRNA from 1 species
CCAGCUUUCUAAGACGUACCGUUUUCCUAAUUACACUUUCCCAGAGGCAAACCCAGAUGGAUGUCAGAACGAAAAUAAACGGAAUGUGGCUCAACUGAGUGCAACUCUAAUGACUAACACAGAGGAAGUUGGCUUGGAUUUAAAUUUACUGAAGUAUGUAGCAAAAAAGAAAAUCAUUUCAUCUUACCUGUGUAACUAGAGGUACAGUGGAUUACAUUUCCUUUCAAAGUAGCACUCCUUCAAAACCAUCUGGCUUCCGAAGUAUUUAAUACCCAUCCAGUGAGAUAAUUAGUAUGCAAGACGUGUCAUCAGAGUUGAAGAAUGGAAAAUAAAAUGUACAUAACAGGCUCAGGCUUAAUCGCUAAUAAAAGUGAAGAUAAUCAGUGUAACUCUAAAGUAUCAUUAACAACCUGAACAGGAGCACACAUAGAUGUGAAACAAAGUCUAAUACAAGGAAAGCAUUUUGAUAUCAGCCACUUGCCAUUAUGCAAGCAAUUAGCGCUCCACCACAGCGAGCUAGAAGGGAGGAAAGCUUCCAGCUAAUUCCACAUGCAAAUCCCUCCUGUAGAAGGGUUUAGGACGUUUAUGCUGAAGCCUAGCUGGGACCUGUCUGAAAUCACUUUUCGCUAAUUCCAACAGAAAUUACCAUGUGAUAAAAUGCCUGGCUUCCCAGGUACCUCCUCAGUGGCCGAGGUGGGCUGAGCUGAACAGGCCCCUGUGACUUUCC